UACGUAGGGGGCAAGCGUUGUCCGGAAUCAUUGGGCGUAAAGAGCGCGUAGGCGGUCCGGUAAGUCCGCUGUGAAAGUCAAGGGCUCAACCCUUGAAUGCCGGUGGAUACUGUCGGGCUAGAGUCCGGAAGGGCGAGUGGAAUUCCUGGUGUAGCGGUGAAAUGCGCAGAUAUCAGGAGGAACACCAAUGGCGAAGGCAGCUCGCUGGGACGGUACUGACGCUGAGGCGCGAAAGCGUGGGGAGCAAACAGG
rnacentral:rRNA from 1 species